rnacentral:rRNA from 1 species
GGACCCGCACAAGUAGUGGAGCAUGUGGUUUAAUUCGAAGAUACGCGCAGAACCUUACCAACACUUGACAUGUUCGUCGCGACUUUAAGAGAUUAAAGUUUUCGGUUCGGCCGGACGAAACACAGGUGCUGCAUGGCUGUCGUCAGCUCGUGUCGUGAGAUGUUGGGUUAAGUCCCGCAACGAGCGCAACCCUCACUUUUAGUUGCCAUCAUUAAGUUGGGCACUCUGAAAGAACUGCCAGUGAUAAGCUGGAGGAAGGUGGGGAUGACGUCAAGUCCUCAUGGCCCUUACGUGUUGGGCUACACACGUGCUACAAUGGUAUCUCAAAAGGAAGCAAAACGGCACGUU